AAAUAAAAAUUUAAAAAAAAUUAAAAAAAAAGAAGCAUGGAAGCCAAAAUGAUCUUGUAAUAUUUGAAGAAGUGGGAAUUUUGCUAGGCUUUAAAAUGGGCAGGAGACACAGGACUCCAUCAUUGAAACAACAUACAUUUUAGUGUUUGCCUUUCUUUAGAUUGACCAUUUCACGUGGAUUAAGUUCCCCUUAGGUAGAAAACCAAAGGCCUCAUUUCUCAUUUCCAUCCUGCUCCUCCUCGAUGCCUGCCUUCAGCCACUGAGGAGGGGAGUCCAGCAGCUGCUCAGUCCUUGCCGGAUAACCAAUGACAUGCAUACAUUCUCUCCCUGUGUCCAUAGUAAGCAAAGCUCUCCAAGUAAUUCCUGAGUAGCACCUCCAGUGUCCUCACAGCUUCUCUAUGUCCUCCUAGUGCCUUCCAAGGGCCCAUCGGAGGAGCUUCCCAGAGUCCUAACAGAGGAAGGGGCCCCAUCUACCCCCAAGGUGGAUACAAGAAUAAAUGAAAAUUGUACAUAUUCUGGAAUCACUUGUUGAGGAAGGAUCUCAGUGCUGAUGAAGUCACACACAGAGAUCGAGAGAGAGAGAGAGGCAGAAACACAGGCAGAGGGAG